CGCACAUUGCGCCCGCGAGUAUUCUCGCGGGCAUGCCUGUCCGAGCGUCAUUUCAACCCUCAGGGCCCGCCUGCUUGCAGGCGCGGCGCUGGUGUUGGGGAUCGGCCUAACCGCCGUCCCCCAAAUACAGUGGCGGUCUCGCUGCAGCCUCCCCUGCGUAGUAGCAACACUCGCAUGCGGAGCGCGGCGCGGCCACGCCGUAAAACCCCCGACUUUCUGAACGUUGACCUCGGAUCAGGUAGGAAUACCCGCUGAACUUAA
rnacentral:misc_RNA from 1 species